rnacentral:rRNA from 1 species
UACAGAGGUCUCAAGCGUUGUUCGGAUUCAUUGGGCGUAAAGCGCACGUAGGCGGCUUAGCAAGUCGGAAGUGAAAGCCCUUGGCUCAACCAAGGAAGUGCUUUCGAAACUGCUGAGCUUGAGUAGUUAAGAGGAUCGCGGAAUUCCCGGUGUAGAGGUGAAAUUCGUAGAUAUCGGGAGGAACACCAGUGGCGAAGGCGGCGAUCUGGGAACAUACUGACGCUGAGGUGCGAAAGCGUGGGGAGCAAACAGG